UACGUAGGACCCGAGCGUUGUCCGGAAUCACUGGGUGUAAAGGGAGCGCAGGCGGAUUUUUCAAGUCGAUGGUGAAAUCCUGCAGCUUAACUGCAGAACUGCCGUCGAUACUGUUUAUCUUGAGUGUGGAAGAGGGUGGCAGAAUUCAUGGUGUAGCGGUGAAAUGCGUAGAUAUCAUGAAGAAUACCGGUAGCGAAGGCGGCCACCUGGUCCACUACUGACGCUCAUGCUCGAAAGCGU
rnacentral:rRNA from 1 species